GAGCAACAAUUCCCUACCGCCCCAAGGUCAUACCUGCUGGAGCGCAUGCAGUAUUAGCGCCGCAGCACUCUGCACAAGCUUUUGCAAUUCCAGGGCAAUAUGCUUUUGCAGCACAUCAAGAUUUGACCAAGCUUCACCAGUUGGCUAUGCAGCAUAUCCCCCUCCCCUCCCUUGGGCAGAGCAACCCUACCUUCCCUGGAUUGGAUGCAUCAGCCCCCACAAGUUCACAUGAGAUGGCAAUACCUAAUGAUUUUAUUGGCUGCAUAAUUGGAAGACAAGGCAGCAAAAUCAAUGAAAUUCGCCAGGUCUCUGGAGCUCACAUCAAAAUUGCCAGUGCUACUGAUGGCUCAGCCAUGCGCCAAGUCACGAUCACGGGCUCGCCAGCCAGUAUCGGCGUGGCUCAGUAUCUCAUCAACGCCAGCUUAGAGAUGGCUAAAUACACCAUGCAGGCUGCUUCCUCCGUGACCCCAGUUGAUCUCAACAUGAGCUUCUCUCAGUCCGCCCCCACUGCCUCCACAUCUGCUACCUCUAUGGCCGUCCUGGCGGCAGCCACCCCAGCACCCACCGCCAUUAACGUCCACUCACCCUCCACCCUAUCAGCCAUACAAACCCCACACUACGCCGUUCCUGUUUCCAGCCUGCUUGGCAUGAAAACGCUCCCCUUCCUGGCUGUCCACCCAGCAGCCCCUUCAGGUUUAACACAGGGUUUGUCUGCUUACACUCCAAAAAUGCCCAACUCUGGUGUCAAGAAAUCAGAGCGGCAGAAGUUUGCUCCAUACUGACACCUGUUCUUUCAAAUCUUUUCAGUGACACACAACGGUUUUGCUACAUUAUUUAAAAAAAUACUAACUACCCGCAUGUAGAAGGUUCUUGACAUAGGAGAAAACCCAGGGGUGGGGGACCAUGUAUCUUGUCACCAAGUUGGAUGUAAAUACUUGGUGGUACAUACAGUAUAAGGGAAUAAAAGUAAAAUGUUUUGUAGGUAGAAUGGCA
rnacentral:lncRNA from 1 species